UGGUUCUGGCAUCGAUGAAGAACGCAGCGAAAUGCGAUAAGUAAUGCGAAUUGCAGAGCAGUGAGUCAUCGAAUCUUUGAACGCACAUUGCGCCCUUUGGCAUUCCGAGGGGCAUGCCUGUCCGAGCGUCAUUAACAACCUUCAAGCCUGGCUUGCUGUUGGAUCUCUGCCGGUGGUGAAUCGGACAGGAUCCCAAAGACAAUGGCGGAGUCGUGUCGGACCCAGACGCAACGAGCUCUCUGUAGCACGCGUGUUGGUGGCCGGGCGCUCCAGUCUCGACAUCUUUUUUCUCAGGUUGACCUCGGAUCAGGUAGGAAUACCCGCUGA
rnacentral:misc_RNA from 1 species